CUGCGGGUGUCAGUAUAAACUGGCUGUAGAACGACAAAGUUACUGAAGUGGCUCAUUCAACUAUGUCUAAAAUGAAUUAAAAAUGGCUAGCGGACAUGCAUGUUUGGUUACAUUAAGUCAAAGCAUUAUCUUGAUCAAUUUUAAGACUAAGUUAACUCACCUUUCACCUCUUUGAGACAAAUGAUAUAUGUUAACCCGAUGAACUUGACCACCAUUUUACCUAAAAUUUAUAGCCUAUGCCUCGGCAAAAAAAAUCGAUAACUUAUGUUUAACUUACACUAAGUUAUUAUUGUCUUGUUACAGAUUCCUUGAAGGUGGCUCAACAAAAUGCAAGGCAUCAAAAGUAACAUCUGAUCAGUACGGUUCAAGAAGAAACGAGUGUUGAAUUCUGAUCUUUGUUUUAAAUCAAGAUUACACCUUAUUUGACUCAUGCAUCUUCGGCUAAAGCGACAGACCCUGAGUUAGAGGCAGUUAAUCAAAGACUGGCUCGGACAAGCCAAAUCAAGAGGUCUGAGCCAAAUACAAGGAACAAAUGGGACAAUAUUCCUGGUUCUGGAGCCAAGCAACACCCAACACUUGGAAACAAAGACCAAGGAUAGUUAUUUUUAAUUUAACAAUUUAUUCUUUUACUUUACAAAAUUAACACCUAAAUUUUAAAAGCUAGCUUUGGAAAAUAAAUAUGUGUGUUUUAAAAAUAAAACUAUAU